rnacentral:rRNA from 1 species
AACCACAGCCAUAUCACCCUGCAGCGGUUACUCACUGAAGCUAAGCAGGGCUGAGCCUGGUCAGAACCUGGAUGGGAGACCACUAGGGAACACUAGGUUGCUGUUGGAA